GAUGAAGAACGUAGCGAAAUGCGAUAAGUAGUGUGAAUUGCAGAAUUCAGUGAAUCAUCGAAUCUUUGAACGCACAUUGCGCCCCUUGGUAUUCCGUGGGGCAUGUCUGUUCGAGCGUCAUUUACCCCCUCAAGCUCCGCUUGGUGUUGGGCGUCUGUCCCGCUUCGCGCGCGGACUCGCCCCAAAGGUAUUGGCAGCGGUCGUGCCAGCUUCUCGCGCAGCACAUUGCGCUUCUCGAGGCACCGGUGGGCCCGCGUCCAUCAAGCUCACCCCCCCAGUUUGACCUCGGAUCAGGUAGGGAUACCCGCUGAACUUAAGCAUAUCAAUAAGCGGAGGA
rnacentral:misc_RNA from 1 species